rnacentral:rRNA from 1 species
UGCAAGUCGAGCGGAACGAUCCUAGCUUGCUAGGAGGCGUCGAGCGGCGGACGGGUGAGUAAUGCAUAGGAAUCUGCCCGGUAGUGGGGGAUAACCUGGGGAAACCCAGGCUAAUACCGCAUACGCCCUACGGGGGAAAGCAGGGGAUCUUCGGACCUUGCGCUAUCGGAUGAGCCUAUGUCGGAUUAGCUAGUUGGUGAGGUAACGGCUCACCAAGGCUGCGAUCCGUAGCUGGUCUGAGAGGAUGAUCAGCCACAUCGGGACUGAGACACGGCCCGAACUCCUACGGGAGGCAGCAGUGGGGAAUAUUGGACAAUGGGCGAAAGCCUGAUCCAGCCAUGCCGCGUGUGUGAAGAAGGCCUUCGGGUUGUAAAGCACUUUCAGUGAGGAAGAAAGCCUUGAGGUUAAUACCCUCGAGGGAGGACAUCACUCACAGAAGAAGCACCGGCUAACUCCGUGCCAGCAGCCGCGGUAAUACGGAGGGUGCGAGCGUUAAUCGGAAUUACUGGGCGUAAAGCGCGCGUAGGCGGCUUGAUAAGCCGGUUGUGAAAGCCCCGGGCUCAACCUGGGAACGGCAUCCGGAACUGUCAGGCUAGAGUGCAGGAGAGGAAGGUAGAAUUCCCGGUGUAGCGGUGAAAUGCGUAGAGAUCGGGAGGAAUACCAGUGGCGAAGGCGGCCUUCUGGACUGACACUGACGCUGAGGUGCGAAAGCGUGGGUAGCAAACAGGAUUAGAUACCCUGGUAGUCCACGCCGUAAACGAUGUCGACUAGCCGUUGGGCUCCUUGAGAGCUUUGUGGCGCAGUAACGCGAUAAGUCGACCGCCUGGGGAGUACGGCCGCAAGGUUAAAACUCAUAUGAAUUGACGGGGGCCCGCACAAGCGGUGGAGC